UACGAAGGAUCCAAGCGUUGUCCGGAUUUACUGGGUUUAAAGGGUGCGUAGGCGGAUGUCUAAGUCAGUGGUGAAAGCCGGCAGCUUAACUGUCGAAUUGCCAUUGAAACUGGGCGUCUCGAGUGCGGUUGAGGUGACUGGAAUGUAACAUGUAGCGGUGAAAUGCAUAGAUAUGUUACAGAACACCGAUUGCGAAGGCAGGUCACUAAACCGUAACUGACGCUGAGGCACGAAAGCGUGGGGAUCAAACAGG
rnacentral:rRNA from 1 species